rnacentral:rRNA from 1 species
GACGAACCGUGCGAACGUUGUUCGGAUUCACUGGGCUUAAAGGGCGCGUAGGCGGCUUGCCAAGUCAGGGGUGAAAUCUUUCGGCUUAACCGGAAAAGUGCUUCUGAUACUGGUGAGCUUGAGGGAGGUAGGGGCAGAUGGAACUUCCGGUGGAGCGGUGAAAUGCGUAGAUAUCGGAAGGAACGCCGGUGGCGAAAGCGAUCUGCUGGACCUCUUCUGACGCUGAGGCGCGAAAGCCAGGGGAGCAAACGG